rnacentral:tRNA from 1 species
UUUAAAUAGUUUUAAUGCGGAAAAAUUUAAUAUUGAAGAUAUUAAGAUGAUUGUGUGAUCUUUAAAUA